GGGUUGUGAGGUUAAGCGACUAAGCGUACACGGUGGAUGCCCUGGCAGUCAGAGGCGAUGAAGGACGUGCUAAUCUGCGAUAAGCGUCGGUAAGGUGAUAUGAACCGUUAUAACCGGCGAUUUCCGAAUGGGGAAACCCAGUGUGUUUCGACACACUAUCAUUAACUGAAUCCAUAGGUUAAUGAGGCGAACCGGGGGAACUGAAACAUCUAAGUACCCCGAGGAAAAG
rnacentral:rRNA from 2 species